GAUGAACGCUGGCGGCGUGCCUAAUACAUGCAAGUCGAGCGAACGGACGAGAAGCUUGCUUCUCUGAUGUUAGCGGCGGACGGGUGAGUAACACGUGGAUAACCUACCUAUAAGACUGGGAAAACUUCGGGAAACCGGAGCUAAUACCGGAUAAUAUUUUGAACCGCAUGGUUCAAAAGUGAAAGACGGUCUUGCUGUCACUUAUAGAUGGAUCCGCGCUGCAUUAGCUAGUUGGUAAGGUAACGGCUUAGCAAGGCAACGAUGCAUAGCCGACCUGAGAGAGUGAUCGGCGACAUGGGAACGUGAACACGGUCAAUAGGACUAAGGGAGGCAGCAGUAGGCAAUCGUACGCAAUGGGCGAAAGCCUGACGGAGCAACGCCGCGUGAGUGAUAGAGGUCUUCGGAUCGUAAAACUCUGUUUUUAGGGAAGAACAUAUUUGUAAGUAACUGUGGACAUCUUGACGGUACCUAAUCAGAAAGCCACGGCUAACUACGUG
rnacentral:rRNA from 1 species